rnacentral:rRNA from 1 species
AGUGAACGCUGGCGGUAGGCCUAACACAUGCAAGUCGAACGGCAGCACAGUAAGAGCUUGCUCUUACGGGUGGCGAGUGGCGGACGGGUGAGGAAUACAUCGGAAUCUACUUUUUCGUGGGGGAUAACGUAGGGAAACUUACGCUAAUACCGCAUACGACCUACGGGUGAAAGCAGGGGAUCUUCGGACCUUGCGCGAUUGAAUGAGCCGAUGUCGGAUUAGCUAGUUGGCAGGGUAAAGGCCCACCAAGGCGACGAUGCGUAGCUGGUCUGAGAGGAUGAUCAGCCACACUGGAACUGAGACACGGUCCAGACUCCUACGGGAGGCAGCAGUGGGGAAUAUUGGACAAUGGGCGCAAGCCUGAUCCAGCCAUACCGCGUGAGUGAAGAAGGCCUUCGGGUUGUAAAGCCCUUUUGUUGGGAAAGAAAAGCAGCAGGUUAAUACCCCGCUGUUCUGACGGUACCCAAAGAAUAAGCACCGGCUAACUUCGUG